UGAUUAUCUUGAACUUGUGGUAUUCUUAUCUUACUCUUAUAAGAAUGUCUUGUUUUGUUCGUAGAAGAAUCUCUCAGUUCUGGAUCAUAGCAUUUACUUCUGAGGUAUGGCCAUUUUUGAGUUUCAAUGGAAGACUCUGAAGCUUCAAAUACCAAGGCUCUUUACGUUGUUGGGACUCAAUUUGUUCUCCUCUAUGUUCCAGAUGAGCACACCUUUCAGUCCAUUUGCUGCCAACACCACCUACAGGGAUCCCACAGUAGCCAUUUUCAUUGGGCUAAACAGCACAAAGAGGCUAUUGUCGGAGAGCAGAUGCAGGAGAAGAUUUUGCCAAAUGGCAUAUUCUAAGUUAAUGUGAAAUAACCAAAACACCUGAUAAUCAUGGAAAGUGAGCUUAAGAGUUUAUGAAGAUGCAUUUUGAAAUAACUACUGUGGAAAACCUUCUAAGAGACCACCAGGAGAUGAAUAAGAGGAUAUGUGCAGAAAAGGUCAAGAUAAAUUAACCUUUGGGUGAAGUCGAAUAACCCAACUGAUGGAGCCAGAGAGGAUGGAAGGAAGAUGUGGUCCAAUAUCAUGAACUAAAAAGGUAGUUUGAGUUAAAUUUUAAAGAAUAUCUAUCAUUUUGUAAUUAAGAACUGAUUUUUCUAUUAAUGUAAAUCAUGACCAUUUUGACAGUUUCAAGUAGGUUUAAAAAGUCACGCAUGGUGAUUGUCACUUGGGAAAGGGCAUCUGGCCAC
rnacentral:lncRNA from 10 species